AACCACCCGCGUCGGCUACUCCACCCAAUAGCCGCCGUGAGGAACAUGAAAGGAUCGUUCCCGCCCUGACCGGCGGGGGCGGGGGGGGGGGAGGGGGGGAGCCCUGCCGUAAAGCGCCAGAGCGGCGCGAGGCCCUGCGCGCGGAGGCGGCAGAGCCGCGGUCAGAGAAUAUGGCA
rnacentral:ncRNA from 1 species